rnacentral:rRNA from 1 species
GACGAACGCUGGCGGCGUGCUUAACACAUGCAAGUCGAGCGGUAAGGCCCUUUCGGGGGUACGACGAGCGGCGAACGGGUGAGUAACACGUGGGUGACCUGCCCUCCAGCUCUGGGAUAAGCCUGGGAAACUGGGUCUAAUACUGGAUAUGACUCCACGGUGCAUGUCGUGGGGUGGAAAGCCUUGUGCGGCUGAGGAUGGGCCCGCGGCCUAUCAGCUUGUUGGUGGGGUGANGGCCUACCAAGGCGACGACGGGGUAGCCGGCCUGAGAGGGCGACCGGCCACACUGGGACUGAGACACGGCCCAGACUCCUACGGGAGGCAGCAGUGGGGAAUCUUGCGCAAUGGGCGAAAGCCUGACGCAGCGACGCCGCGUGAGGGAUGACGGCCUC